rnacentral:sRNA from 1 species
AAAGUUUCGAAAUGGUGCUCUCCGUCGAAGAAUCGAAGCAAAUCGCGAUUCAUUUUGCUUCGUUGGAAGAUAAUGUUAAAGCGGUUAGUUUUAGAAAGUUUAUGAGAAUUUUCAAAUUUAAUUCAAGUGUCGAGUUUACUGAUCCACGUUGUUUUGGUCCGAGAAAUGUUUUUUAGAGCGACUAUUAAAUACCGUACUUCCUCUAUUAGUCUUGCCCUCUUCGGAACAAGGCCGUCAAACAAAAAUUUACAUAACCAAUAGCUUCACAAACAACUAUAAAAUUCUAUAGGUUUGGUACUGUAAUUGUGCCUGGUUGAAAUUUUAUCAACUAGUCUUUUACUUUUAAAACUUAUUGCAAAAACCUGAGUUGAAUGAUUUGUGUCAACAAUUUAUUGAACAAAUGGACUAUUUUCAAAAAUUUCACCAUGCACCCUCUAAUUGUAAGAGUCUUGUUGUCAAUCAGUCACACUUUGAUAAAAAAUUUGAAAACUUGAAACAAAAAUUCUUUAAAUAUAAUUUUAUCUCAAGAUUAUUCUUACAUUGAUUUGCUACAUGGUCUAGCUAUUAAAACUAAUUUGCCACUUGCGUCGUAAACCGACACGGUUGCUGAGCGCCAGAUCUAUUAAACAUUAUUCUUGUAUGCAAGUCUAGUAGAGAUAAAAUGCCAACCAGUGCUGUGCGGCUCUUGAAAAAACUCGGCUCUCGACGCGAGCCGAGAGCCGAGAGCCGAGUUCAAAUUUGGUGUUGGCUCUCGGCUCUCGCCAAGAGCCGAGUCUCAUCAUUCUAUUCGGCUCUCGGCUUUUGCCGAGAUCCGAGAGCCGUACAGCACUGAUGCUAACUGACUAUCUAUAAAAUAAAACACAGAAACCGACAACAUCAUUUGAGAAACGUGGUAGUAACAUACUUUAACUUUGAGGUGAACAAAUUCUCUUACUGUAUGUCAGAAACUGAAUAUGACCAAGGAAAAGCUAAAUUUGGUGAAAUUCAAAGUGAAUGAGAAGGCAUCAAAAAUUAUAUGCAGCGAAAAAGGAAAACAUAGGCGAAACAGCUCAAUUUACAGGUCUCGCCACAUCGCAAUGAAUUUCUUGCUGUUAUUAAAGCUUUCUCAAAUGGGGUGUAUCUACCAUUAUGGUUUGAGGUAAUGAGCCAAAUAGUAAAACUUACACAAUAAAUAUCAAUAUUCUAGACACUGUACACGCACGAAUUUCGACGCAUUGGAAAAGUGAUAGCCGAUGCAAGUGGGGAAGACAUUCAGCUGCCGGUUGCUGAUGACGUCAUUGGUUGGUUGAUAGAACCUACUUAUUGUCUUUGCAAAACUUAACAAGCUUUUGUGCUUUUUGCUUUCAACCCAGUUAAAACUUUUGCAGAGUCCUCCAGUCGUCCAAUAGUUUAUUUGAAUGAGACGUGCCGACGAGUUUUUGAAAUCUGUUUAAGCAUCCAAUUUCUAACUCCUCACCUCGCAGACAUCAAGCAGAUUCUCGGAAAUUUCUGGAAAACUUAUUCCGAACCCCGUAUUGCAGAGGAGGUUUUGAAUACAAUUGAGGUAAGUUUUUUUUUAAAAGUCAAUGUCUUCUACAGUUGACCUCAUUUUUUGAGUUGAGAACUAUUAGGGUGUUCGUUAAGUUUUUUUCCUUUCUCAGUGUUUUCUUUAAUGUUUUUUCGUGAUGGCAUAGUAGUCAGUGAGUAAUGUUAAACUUAUUAAUAUCGGUCGAUUCAUAUGCUUUCGAGUGGUCGUUCGAGUUUGCGUGCUUCUUGGAGUUGUAGCUUUUGAACGGUGAAAGGUAUCAAAAAAUGUCUACAUUUAAGUUAUUCAUUUUUAAUUGCUUAACAUUUUACAGUCUUUUGUAAAUUGAUAUCUUUCACGUAGUCCAAUAUAGACCCUUCUGAAGAAAAAAUGCUAAUUUUUCCGACUACUUUUCACUAAUUUUCCAUAUUUUAUGAUGUCAAAGAGGGCUUUUGUUUCCCAAUAUUUUAAAUUUGAGUUAUUCUAACAGAAUAAGAAUCGACCGAUAUUUUUAAGAUUUACGUUACUAACUAACAACUAUGCAUCACAAAAAAACAAACAAACAAACCUAAUAGGUAUAUGAAGUGAAUAAUAUUUUUGAAAAGCUGGUUUUUUAAUACUUCUAAACUUUUUUGGCGAAAAUUCUUUUUUUUUUGACUUUAAAAGAAGUCUGCAUAAAAGUUUAUAGGUUUGUAUUUUAUGAAUUUUGGAAUUUGUAGCAAACUCUCCAGGAGUUGCUACAAAUUAAAACGUGCUGACUUUUCCAAACUUUCCAAAGUUCUCCAGGUUUCGAGAGCUUUUAUAAAACAUUCAGAAAACACGAAAUAAUUUAUUUUUACAGGCAAAUAUAUAUUUUGACUGGCAUUUUGAAGAAAACCUUUUAAAUCAGUCCCCCAAAAAGUUUAGGAAAAAACGGUUAACAGGAAAGAUGUGCGGCAAACGCCUGAAAAAAAUUUCAAAUCGACUUUGUGUCUAGUUUAAAGGUCUUUCGCAGCUUAUUUUUUGUGAUAACCAAAGGAUAACCAAAAAAUUGAAAUGUUCUCUUCUAAAAGACAUUGGAAAGUGCAUAAUAAAUAUUGUUUUUUUUUCAGCGAUUCUGCGUCAUCACCAUGGGGAGAUAUGUUAGAAAGAUAUUAUGUUACAUGAAUGUAAAAUUGGAUUGGUUCGAUUUUCACUUCGAUUUCACGUCGCAACCAUCUCGUGAAUUGUUGAAAACUGGGUAUUUUCUAGAUUUUAAACCAAUCAAAGCACACAUUUGACAAUUAUUUGCGAAAAUUCAAAAUAUUUAUAAGAAAAGAACAAGCAAAAAAGUGUCAAAUUUAUACGUUCAAUUUAAAAAUACAAUAGGAACAUGUUAAUCACUUUAAUAGAUGCAAUUUGUACUAUCUCACAAAUCUAUCUAUUUGGGGUGGCAAUAAACCCUGUCAACAACCAUAACUUUUGUCGUGGCGUAUCGAAUUUUUUGAAAACGUAUCGUGGGAUAGUCUUCCCACUUGCAAGACUAUUCGGGAGUGCAAUACUAAUUUUAGAACUUUUUUCUGAUUUAUUUGGAAAUUAAAAAAUUUUUAUUGUAAUUGCAAUAAAAGGUUCAGUAACUUCACUUGCAUAGAAAUUCGGUCAAAAAUUGUUGCAAAAUAGGCGAAAAAUGUAUAAAAAAAACAAGUAGACACAAGACUAUUCGGGAGUGCAGCACUAAUUUUCGGAGGUUGUUCAAGGUGCAAGUCUAGUAGGAGACCAUACUAAUAGAAGAAAUAUGGUAAACGGCUUUUAAUUUAUAUUCUUUCAGUGUUAAACGACGUAAAAAUCUGCGAUGGGCAGGUGUACAGGUUUGUAGCUUUCUUUUCAAAACAAACAAUACGGUUCCAAGGGUAAAACAAACUGGCAACACAAUAGUUCUUUUUUAUCAAUUGAACACUCGUUGUUCGGUCAUUACGGUCCAAUUUUUCAUAAUUUAAUGCAACGUGUCAAAUCGACUCUCCUUCACCUCCAUUACGCUGUUUAGGUGUUUAUUUAGUUGAAACUAGUGUUUUUGAGUAUAUUUAUUCGUUUGCCAAAAUCGAUUACGCCUGUUACCCACCAGUCUUUCAAUAUGAAUAACAAUACACACUUUUGCAGGAAAGAGAAGUGCCCGCUCUUACAUCAACAGGAUUGGUACUUCCUAAGUGCACAAAGUAUGUUGUAUUCUUUUUUGAAUUUUCGAUUAUCAAUUUUUAUAGAAAUCCAAACGAUGAAGGUUUUACUUUUCAUUGUGAUCUAUGUUCGUUCGGCACCAACUGCAACAUACAAUUUUUAAACGUUCAUUUCUAUUUCGAGCAUGUGAGGAAAGAAAAGAGCAAUGCGGAUCUGUGAGUGGCAUUUGAAUGCAAAAUGAAAAUUCGUUAGGAUUUUGGGUACUUGUGUAUUAAAAAAAAUUGGAUAUUCAUUCAUUUGUCAAUUUUAAUUAAAUGUGAUCUGAUUUAUUACUCUUUAGGCUAAGAAAGGGUUAUUUCCUAAGCCUAAAAUACAAAAAAAAACUGCACACGUUUUCAUUUUUCAUAACUUCAAAAUGUUCAUCUAAAAAUAUGCGCCUAUAAUACACAAAAACCGGGUUUUGUUUUCUACAGAACUUUUUGUUUCCAGUUUUUGGACUAUACUCUUCGCGAUCUGAAAAAGGGUACAUCUGACUGUAAUCUUAAAAACUAGCACGGAACCCCUUUUUGGUACAAUUAAACCAAAAAGUUAGUUUUUAGAAAACUUUACUUAAUCAAGUUUUUUAAAUUUAAUACUGAAAUUUCCUUAAUCUAUUUUUAGUUUUUCAGAAAAUCUAGCACGUUUAAAGCACGAUUCUGAUAGUUAGCUAAUUCUGAUUCUAAAUAAUUUCGGUAAAUUUUUCAAACAAAAAAAACCGAAAAAAUUGUAAAAUGAGAUAUUUUGCAUGUUUUCUGUAUUAAGAGAAAUAUUAAAAUCUCUCACUGAUGUGAGAAUUUCACAAUUUUGAAAUAAACGUUAUGUGCUUUCACGGGGUUUUGGCGCCAAAACCUCAUUGAAUUUUUUGCGCUCCAUUGACAAUCGCCUGCCGGACAAAAAGUGGCUUCACAUGGAUCAAUACAUUUAGUCUUACAACUGGAAUCAAGCCGUGACGCAACACGCAACGCGCCGUAAAUCUACCCGAAUAUGACCGAGUUAAAAUGACCUAAUUCGGCAAACCCUUACAUUUCUAAAUAAAAAAGUUUGAAAACUGUUUUUCAAACUGUAAUAUCUCAAAGAAAUACUAUAAAUUUUUUUUGGAAUUUUACUUUAAAAAAAAUUUAUUUAAAUUUUUGUCAGUCAGAUUCUGAAGUUACAUUGGUUUUCAGAGAAUCUGCCCAUCAAGCACGCUUCACCAUACUAGCUGAAAAGCUCACCAAGCUAGCUGACCGCCUCAACCAGGUAAUUUAUUGACCCAAACACUGAAAAUAUCAAAUCAAAUACAGAUCGAACCGUUCUUCGAAGAAUUGAAACGCUACAAUGGUUUGAACUUUUGGUAUUUAGAGGUAUGUGAAAUGUAUUCUGGAAAUGAGUUAUAAUAGUUGUCAUCUUUCAGAUGCUGUACAGUUACGACAUUAACUCUCUUGCAAAGAUGGCACGCGCAAAAGCUGGAAUACAGUCAGAAGGUAAGAAAAUUGAGGAUCUCCCGAAGUUCAAAAAUGGAACAGCAUUAAUGUUGUUCUAUUUGUGUUUUGUAUGAGUUGAAAGAUGGGUUUAUAGACUUGAAUUGAUCCGAAUUUAGAUAUGUUUUAUUUGAAUAAUAUUGGUUUCUAAUUUUAAUUUCAGAAAAUCCUAUGCUGCCUCUUUCAAGCGCGAGAAAAGUCGCCGAACAUCUAUUCGACAUUCAACAUAAUAUUAUUCAAGUAAUAGUUCUUACUAUUUGUUUCAGCCUUAAACUCUGAUUUUAGAUAGAAACAUGCUUCUUCGAACUCCAUUUGAUCAUUCAAUCCACUUCGGAUCACCACAAACAGCUUUGUGAAACAAUUUUCACAAAUUUCAAUUAUAUGUCAAACUAUGAUAACCGCUUUGUCGAUCUAGGAACGUUUUUCUUACAAUCUAAUGGGAUUUGCGUAGAACAGUUCAAAAUGAAAAACGGGUGUGUCAUUGAUAAAGAAGGUUUGGAACAAGCAAAAGAUAACGGGUAAUAAAGAAAUUCAGAUACACAGAAUUUAAAAAAUCUUACAGAUUCCAAAUUGUAUGUACUAAAUGCGCGUUCAAGUGCAUCACAGUUACAUCUUUUAACCUUCAUUUCUAUUUCAAACAUGCCGAUUGGGACAAUGAUCAG